AUUGAACGCUGGCGGAAUGCUUUACACAUGCAAGUCGAACGGCAGCACGGACUUCGGUCUGGUGGCGAGUGGCGAACGGGUGAGUAAUGUAUCGGAACGUGCCCAGUCGUGGGGGAUAACGUAGUGAAAAUUACGCUAAUACCGCAUACGAUCUAUGGAUGAAAGCGGGGGAUCGCAAGACCUCGCGCGAUUGGAGCGGCCGAUAUCAGAUUAGGUAGUUGGUGGGGUAAAGGCCCACCAAGCCAACGAUCUGUAGCCGGUCUGAGAGGACGACCAGACACACUGGAACUGAGACACGCUCGAGACUCGUGCGGGAGGCAGCAGUGGGGAAUUUUGGACAAUGGGCGAAAGCCUGAUCCAGCCAUUCCGCGUGCAGGAUGAAGGCCCUCGGGUUGUAAACUGCUUUUGUACAGAGCGAAAAGGUUUCUACUAAUACUAGGAGCUCAUGACGGUACUGUAAGAAUAAGCACCGGCUAACUACGUGCCAGCCGCCGCCGUAA
rnacentral:rRNA from 1 species